rnacentral:rRNA from 1 species
AGAGUUUGAUCCUGGCUCAGGAUGAACGCUAGCUACAGGCUUAACACAUGCAAGUCGAGGGGCAGCAUGGUCUUAGCUUGCUAAGGCUGAUGGCGACCGGCGCACGGGUGAGUAACACGCAUCCAACCUGCCGUCUACUCUUGGCCAGCCUUCUGAAAGGAAGAUUAAUCCAGGAUGGCAUCAUGAGUUCACAUGUCCGCAUGAUUAAAGGCAUUUUCCGGUAGACGAUGGGGAUGCGUUCCAUUAGAUAGUAGGCGGGGUAACGGCCCACCUAGUCAACGAUGGAUAGGGGUUCUGAGAGGAAGGUCCCCCACAUUGGAACUGAGACACGGUCCAAACUCCUACGGGAGGCAGCAGUGAGGAAUAUUGGUCAAUGGGCGAUGGCCUGAACCAGCCAAGUAGCGUGAAGGAUGACUGCCCUAUGGGUUGUAAACUUCUUUUAUAAAGGAAUAAAGUCGGGUAUGCAUACCCGUUUGCAUGUACUUUAUGAAUAAGGAUCGGCUAACUCCGUGCCAGCAGCCGCGGUAAUACGGAGGAUCCGAGCGUUAUCCGGAUUUAUUGGGUUUAAAGGGAGCGUAGAUGGAUGUUUAAGUCAGUUGUGAAAGUUUGCGGCUCAACCGUAAAAUUGCAGUUGAUACUGGAUGUCUUGAGUGCAGUUGAGGCAGGCGGAAUUCGUGGUGUAGCGGUGAAAUGCUUAGAUAUCACGAAGAACUCCGAUUGCGAAGGCAGCCUGCUAAGCUGCAACUGACAUUGAGGCUCGAAAGUGUGGGUAUCAAACAGGAUUAGAUACCCUGGUAGUCCACACGGUAAACGAU